rnacentral:rRNA from 1 species
CCUACGGGUUGCACCAGUGGGGAAUAUUGCACAAUGGGCGCAAGCCUGAUGCAGCAACGCCGCGUGAACGAAGAAGGUCUUCGGAUCGUAAAGUUCUUUUCUUAGGGAAGAAAAAUGACGGUACCUAAGGAAUAAGCACCGGCUAAAUACGUGCCAGCAGCCGCGGUAAUACGUAUGGUGCAAGCGUUAUCCGGAAUCACUGGGCGUAAAGGGAGCGUAGGCGGUUUUGCAAGUCAGAAGUGAAAGGCUACGGCUCAACCGUGGUAAGCUUUUGAAACUGCAAGACUAGAGUGCAGGAGAGGCAAGUGGAAUUCCUAGUGUAGAGGUGAAAUUCGUAGAUAUUAGGAGGAACACCAAUGGCGAAGGCGACUUGCUGGACUGUAACUGACGCUGAGGCUCGAAAGCGUGGGGAGCGAACAGGAUUAGAUACCCGGGUAGUC